AAAAAAAAAAAACCUAAUUCGGCACUUUUAGCCUUCAAUCUUUGAGGCUUGGCUAAUGAAAUUAAGUUAAUGAAGUAAUGGAAAAUUAUGUCCAAUGCCCAAUGGAAUUUGGAAUUAACUAAUGGAAAAUUAUGGAUUUUCAAUAAUAUUUCAUCUGUAGCUAUUGAUAUAUAAUAUUUCAAUGCCCAAUAUUUCAUCUGCUGUUACUAUGCAACUAUAGGGGUCAAAAAAUAUUUCACAAGGAUAAAUUUACAAACCUAUAUUGGGGUCAAGGGAUGCCAAUGCCUCCACAUUGGCUCCGCUAGUGCAUCUAUGUGUUCACAAUAUGGUUAAUAUUGUGCUUAUAAAAAAAAUAUAUUGUUAAUAUUUCACAGCCACGAUACUGGAGAGACGGCAAAGUUCAGGAACUCGUCGGAUGACAUGCUUGGACUCAUAGAGGUGGAGCUUCCUUGUUAUGUCCUAGAGAUCCGUUUUUCCUGAGAUGAGCUUUGGUAGAUUGGUGGAAUGUGCCUAUAUGGAGAACAAACCUAGAAACAAUUAUGUGAGAUCUAAUAGAAGCAAUUAGAAUCAAAACCCAAGUGAGAGAAAAAGAGAGUGAAGCAAAAUGGGAUUCACAAUGGGUCUGCUGCUCCCGAUGGCCAUAGAAAAUGGAGCAAAUUAAAAUAUAGAAAUGAACGAAUGAGAUGCAUUUCUUUGGGUCAGAUCGUAGGUAGCUUCAUGUUUGACGAAUCAAAUCCAUGUUCAACCCCUAAGAAGUCUUAUUCUAGUCCACUGUUGUGUGAUUCAUAAAUCAACAAAUCAUAUGAAUGAAUAAGAUUAACAUUUAUAUUCAAAUUUGUGAGAUCUAGGAGAAGCAUCCAGAGAGCUAGA
rnacentral:lncRNA from 1 species